AUUGAACGCUGGCGGCAUGCCUUACAUAUGCAAGUCGAACGGCAGCACGGGAGCAAUCCUGGUGGCGAGUGGCGAACGGGUGAGUAAUAUAUCGGAACGUGCCCAGUCGUGGGGGAUAACGUAGCGAAAGCUACGCUAAUACCGCAUACGAUCUAUGGAUGAAAGCGGGGGAUCGCAAGACCUCGCGCGAUUGGAGCGGCCGAUAUCAGAUUAGGUAGUUGGUGAGGUAAAGGCUCACCAAGCCGACGAUCUGUAGCUGGUCUGAGAGGACGACCAGCCACACUGGGACUGAGACACGGCCCAGACUCCUACGGGAGGCAGCAGUGGGGAAUUUUGGACAAUGGGCGCAAGCCUGAUCCAGCAAUGCCGCGUGCAGGAUGAAGGCCUUCGGGUUGUAAACUGCUUUUGUACGGAACGAAACGGUGAGCUCUAAUACAGUUUGCUAAUGACGGUACCGUAAGAAUAAGCACCGGCUAACUACGUG
rnacentral:rRNA from 1 species